GGAGAAUUCCAUGAACAGAGGAGCCUGGCAGUCUAUAGUCCAUGGGGUCAAAAAGACUCAGACAUGACUUAGGAACUAAUGCUUUUGCUUUUACUUUUCACAUAAAUGACCUUGUUUGAUUGUCACAGAAAUCUUAAGAAAUACUCCUUCAUUGGCUAAGAAAACUGGGACACCGAGGGAAAGCUGCAGGGCAUACCUGACCCUCACCAUUGACCGUUCUUCCUCUCAUCUACGCAGCAUCCGAUUAUCCUUGCAGCCAGUGGUGAAUCCUCCGUCUCAUAAGACGUCAAGCUUCACAUGACCGGGGACCAUGGCCGUCUUAGUCGCCACAGUCAUCCCCUUACCUGGUAAACAGAAGGAGUCUAAAUACUUGUGGAAAAAAAGAGCAAAGGAAGUCUAAGUGGAGGGGUAAGCAAAGGUACACAGGUGGGUACAGGGGUCAUUG
ensembl:lncRNA